rnacentral:tRNA from 1 species
GCACCAUUGGUGUAAUGGUAACAUCUCUGCCUUCCAAGCAGAUGUAGUGGGUUCGAGUCCCAUAUGGUGCUCCA